GACGGGGGGGGCAAGCGUUGUUCGGAAUUACUGGGCGUAAAGGGUUCGUAGGUGGCUCGCUAAGCCAGACGUGAAAUCCCUCAGCUUAACUGGGGAACUGCGUCUGGGACUGGAGAGCUGGAGUGCAGGAGAGGAACGCGGAAUUCCAGGUGUAGCGGUGAAAUGCGUAGAUAUCUGGAGGAACACCGGUGGCGAAGGCGGCGUUCUGGACUGCAACUGACACUGAGGAACGAAAGCCAGGGGAGCAAACGGG
rnacentral:rRNA from 1 species